UACGUAGGGUGCAAGCGUUGUCCGGAAUUAUUGGGCGUAAAGAGCUCGUAGGCGGUUUGUCGCGUCUGCUGUGAAAUCUAGAGGCUCAACCUCUAGCCUGCAGUGGGUACGGGCAGACUUGAGUGGUGUAGGGGAGACUGGAAUUCCUGGUGUAGCGGUGGAAUGCGCAGAUAUCAGGAGGAACACCGAUGGCGAAGGCAGGUCUCUGGGCACUUACUGACGCUGAGGAGCGAAAGCGUGGGGAGCGAACAGG
rnacentral:rRNA from 1 species